GGGGAUUUAGCUCAGUGGUAGAGCGCUUGCCUAGCAAAGUGCAAGGCCCUGGGUUCGGUCCCCAGCUCCG
rfam:Rattus norvegicus chromosome 12, whole genome shotgun sequence.